UACGGAGGGGGCUAGCGUUGUUCGGAUUCAUUGGGCGUAAAGGGUGCGUAGGCGGCCCUGUAAGUCAGUGCUGAAAUAUCCCGGCUUAACCGGGAGGGUGGCAUUGAUACUGCAGGGCUUGAGUAAAGUUGAGGUAGGCGGAAUUGACGGUGUAGCGGUGAAAUGCUUAGAUAUCGUCAAGAACACCGAUAGUGUAGACAGCUUACUAGCUUAACUGACGCUGAGGCACGAAAGUGUGGGGAUCAAACAGG
rnacentral:rRNA from 1 species